AUUAGCUAGUUGGUGGUGCAACGGACCACCAAGGCGACGAUCGGUAGGGGGCCUGAGAGGGUGGCCCCCCACACUGGCACUGAGAUACGGGCCAGACUCCUACGGGAGGCAGCAGUAGGGAAUAUUGGUCAAUGGGCGAAAGCCUGAACCAGCCAUGCCGCGUGCAGGAUGAAGGCCUUCUGGGUUGUAAACUGCUUUUGCCAGGGAAGAAAAAGGCGCCGAGGCGCCAAUUGACGGUACCUGGAGAAUAAGCACCGGCUAACUCCGUGCCAGCAGCCGCGGUAAUACGGAGGGUGCGAGCGUUGUCCGGAUUUAUUGGGUUUAAAGGGUGCGUAGGCGUCCCUGCAAGUUUCUGGUGAAAUCCCCGGGCUCAACCCGGGAACUGCCGGGAAAACUGCCGGGAUUGAGUACGGUCGGGGUAGGCGGAAUUUAUGGUGUAGCGGUGAAAUGCAUAGAUACCAUAAAGAACACCGAUAGCGUAGGCAGCUUACUAGGCCGUAACUGACGCUGAGGCACGAAAGCGUGGGGAGCGAACAGGAUUAGAUACCCUGGUAGUCCACGCCGU
rnacentral:rRNA from 1 species